rnacentral:tRNA from 1 species
GCCAGUUUGGCUCAGUGGAUAGAGCGUCAGCCUGCGGACUGAAGAGUCCCAGGUUCAACUCCUGGUCAGGGCA